rnacentral:rRNA from 1 species
GACGAACGCUGGCGGCGUGCUUAACACAUGCAAGUCGAACGGAAAGGCCCUGCUUUUGUUUGGUGCUCGAUUGGCGAACGGGUGAGUAACACGUGAGUAACCUGCCCUUGACUUUGGGAUAACUUCAGGAAACUGGGGCUAAUACCGGAUAGAAUCUCCUGCUCCAUGUUGUGGGUUGGAAAGUUUCGGCGUUUGGGUAUGGACUAGCGGCUUAUCAGCUUGUUUGUGUGGUAGUUGCUGACCAAGGCUUUGACGGGUAGCCGGCAUGAGAGGGUUGCCGGCCACAUUGGGACUGAGAGACGGAGCAGAAUGCUACGGGCGGCAGCAGUGGGAAAUAUUGCAGAAUGGGCGGAAGCCUGAUGCAGAAACCCGCGGUGCGGAAUGCCGGCCUUCGGGUUGUAAACAGAUUUCGAAUGUAACGAAGAGUGAGUGACGGUACUGGGUAAAGAAGCACCGGCUAACUACGUG